rnacentral:rRNA from 1 species
UGCAAGUCGAGCGGAAACGAUGGAAGCUUGCUUCCAGGCGUCGAGCGGCGGACGGGUGAGUAAUGCAUGGGAAUCUGCCCGAUAGUGGGGGAUAACCUGGGGAAACCCAGGCUAAUACCGCAUACGUCCUACGGGAGAAAGCAGGGGAUCUUCGGACCUUGCGCUAUCGGAUGAGCCCAUGUCGGAUUAGCUUGUUGGUGAGGUAAUGGCUCACCAAGGCGACGAUCCGUAGCUGGUCUGAGAGGAUGAUCAGCCACAUCGGGACUGAGACACGGCCCGAACUCCUACGGGAGGCAGCAGUGGGGAAUAUUGGACAAUGGGCGAAAGCCUGAUCCAGCCAUGCCGCGUGUGUGAAGAAGGCCUUCGGGUUGUAAAGCACUUUCAGUGGGGAAGAAAGCCUUGGGAUUAAUACUCCCGAGGAAGGACAUCACCCACAGAAGAAGCACCGGCUAACUCCGUGCCAGCAGCCGCGGUAAUACGGAGGGUGCGAGCGUUAAUCGGAAUUACUGGGCGUAAAGCGCGCGUAGGCGGUCUGAUAAGCCGGUUGUGAAAGCCCCGGGCUCAACCUGGGAACGGCAUCCGGAACUGUCAGGCUAGAGUGCAGGAGAGGAAGGUAGAAUUCCCGGUGUAGCGGUGAAAUGCGUAGAGAUCGGGAGGAAUACCAGUGGCGAAGGCGGCCUUCUGGACUGACACUGACGCUGAGGUGCGAAAGCGUGGGUAGCAAACAGGAUUAGAUACCCUGGUAGUCCACGCCGUAAACGAUGUCGACUAGCCGUUGGGGUCCUUGAGACCUUUGUGGCGCAGUUAACGCGAUAAGUCGACCGCCUGGGGAG